rnacentral:lncRNA from 1 species
AUAUAAAUACUUUGACUUUUAAAUGUAGAAUUGACUUUGUUUUAAGUGAAGAGUUUUAAUAUUUUGAAGAGAACUACCAUCAUAUUUUAGAAUAUUAUGAAUCUAGUGGUAUAUUUAGUUUUUUCAAAAAACAUAUGAUUUGGAUGAUAUGUAAGAUUUAAUUUUUUUAAAAUGAAUUUAUAAUAUAUUUUUUUUUCAUAUUUAAAGAUUUACAAAAAAAUCUACUAAUGUGCUACAUAUCAAUAGGAUUGCUUUGAAAAAUCAAUCAUAUGAUAUUUAAAUCUUUUUAAAAUUGGAUAAAAAUUUCAUAAUCAAAAUUUAUAAUAUAUUUUCCCAUCAGUUUCUCUCAUUAUGUCACUUUGCAAAUCUUGCACUUCCAGAUGCAAGUCAAAGAAGAUCACUCCUCCUCAAGACUUACCUCAACCGUCGAACCCCUUAAUUGAAGUCCGCCUCGCUUCACUACUCUUCUUUAUUUAAAGGAGGUGGUUUGUAGUCAUUCAGUGAAUAAUCCACUUAGAAAAAGCCAACCGUUUAGGCCUCAUUUCUCAGGAUCUUGUAUCCACCUCAUAAAAGCUUCACAAGAGUUACCUCUCAUAAAGUCUCCUCGGGCUGGAAUCUUUUCAAAGUUGCUUCUCUGUCAAGAAAUCUACACCAC